ACCCCCAGGAACGGCACACUCGCCUUCAUUACUGCAAUCUCUGCACAUACACAGCCGAUACUCUGCACAUACACAGCGGAUACACAGAGGAUACACAGUGGAUACACAGAGGAUACACAGUGGAUACACAGAGGAUACACAGCGGAUACACAGAGGAUACACAGCGGAUACACAGAGGAUACUCUGCAGAUACACAGAGGAUACACAGCGGAUACACAGAGGAUACACAGAGGAUACACAGCGGAUACACAGAGGAUACACAGCGGAUACACAGCGGAUACACAGAGGAUACACAGCGGAUACACCACAGAUACACAGCGGAUACACAGAGGAUACUCUGCAGAUACACAGCAGAUACACAGAGGAUACUCUGCAGAUACACAGCGGAUACACCACAGAUACACAGCGGAUACACAGAGGAUACUCUGCAGAUACACAGCAGAUACACAGCGGAUACACAGAGGAUACUCUGCAGAUACACAGCAGAUACUCCGCGGAUACACCACAGAUACACAGCGGAUACACAGCGGAUACACAGCGGAUACACAGCGGAUACACAGUGGAUACACAGAGGAUACACAGCACAUACACAGCGGAUACAGAGGAUACACAGAGGAUACACAGCGGAUACACAGAGGAUACACAGAGGAUACACAGGGGAUACACAGCGGAUACACAGCGGAUACACAGCAGAUACACAGCAGAUACACAGCGGAUACACAGAGGAUACACAGUGGAUACACAGCGGAUACACCGUGGAUACACAGCGGAUACACCACAGAUACACAGCGGAUACACAGUGGAUACACAGAGGAUACUCUGCAGAUACACAGCAGAUACACAGCAGAUACUCUGCAGAUACACAGCAGAUACACCGCGGAUACACCACAGAUACACAGCGGAUACACAGCACAUACACAGUGGAUACACCACAGAUACACAGCGGAUACACAGCACAUACACAGUGGAUACACAGCGGAUACACAGCGGAUACACAGUGGAUACACAGAGGAUACACAGCACAUACACAGCGGAUACAGAGGAUACACAGCGGAUACACAGCACAUACACAGCACAUACACAGCAGUUACACAGCAGAUACUCAGCAGAUACUCAGCAGUUACACAGCAGAUACUCAGCAGAUACUCAGCAGUUACACAGCAGAUACUCAGCAGAUACUCAGCAGAUACUCAGCAGAUACUCAGCAGAUACUCAGCAGAUACUCAGCAGUUUCUCCUGGGAGCGUGGGGCAGGGUGAGCUGCUCUGGCUGCCCCAGGAUCCCGCAGUGCCUGCCUUGGGAAAGGCCCCGGGGCCGUGGUGUCCAUCCUGUGACUGAUCCUCCGGGUGACUGUCACCUGGAGCUCCGGGUGACCCCUCCGGGUGUUCCUGGGACACGGCAGAGCUCAGAGCUGACACCAGAGAAGCUUCCAGAAGCUUCAGGCCUUUCCUUUAAAGAAGUCUCUUGGUGCUGUUGCUGGAGCAAGAGCGGUUCCUGGCACUUCCAGAGGGAGGGAAUCCUUCAGUCCUCCUGUCACCAGGCACGGCAGUGUCCCCCAAGGGGAGAGGCUGGGGACAUCUGUGGGGACAUCUGUGGGGACAUCCUCUGUCACUUCUUGGGGUCUUCACAAUCUUCAAAAUCUCACACAGAGCGUCUGUGUGGGCUGGGGGAUCCCUGA
ensembl:lncRNA